AUGACUUGGUUUGAUGGAAAAUUUCCUUGUCAGCUUGGCCUAAUUGUCCAAACAAAACCACCCAUUACUUGAAGGAAUACAUGUCUACCUUAGACACAUUAAUUAGGGUCAUGGCUGGGCUGCACAAAGGCAUAGAGUAACACUUCAGUUAUCUUUAAAUGUGAUCUUUGGACAGUCUUACUAAUGCUAGACUCAGGUUUAAUGAGAAACUUUUGUUUACACUCACCCUUUGAGGCUCACGGACCUGCUUUGGAAUCUAUGGGGAUGGCUGUGGAUCACAUGUACACACACCAGGGUCUUCUUUGAGGCGUCCAGAGGUCAUCAGCUCUAGUGGUUUGGACAUAAAAAGUCACAACAGUCUGGACCGAAGACUAGGAGAUCAGCAAAAGGUUAACACUUGCCCUCAGGGAUCACACAGUAUAAUAAGCUGCUCCCUCAGUCUGUGGGGAGACGUGGACAAGAGACCAUGACUGUGACGAUGCCAAAAACAGGCAGGGUGGGAAAAGACUUGACAAAGAGCACAGAGAAGGGGAUGGGGAGGCAGAGAAGAGAGGAGAGAAGGAAGAGGAGAGAAGCAUGGACACCACGGGCCACGAACAAUCCUCUUUAAACAUUUACGCUUCGUCGUCCUUUCUCCUUGUGGGCAGGUAAGAGA